AGUACGUACGCUGGCGGCACGCCUAACACAUGCAAGUCGAACGAAGUAGCAAUACUUAGUGGCAAACGGGUGAGUAAUAUGUGGGAAUCUACCCUUCGGUCUGGAAUAACAUGAGGAAACUUAUGCUAAUACCGGAUAAGCCUUUACAGGGAAAGCUUUAUGCUCCGAUUGAUGAGUCCACACUUGAUUAGUUAGUUGGUGAGGUAAUAGCUCACCAAGACAAUGAUCAAUAGCUGAUUUGAGAGGAUGAUCAGCCACAUUGGGACUGAGACACGGCCCAAACUCCUACGGGAGGCAGCAGUGGGGAAUCUUGCACAAUGGGGGAAACCCUGAUGCAGCGAUGCCGCGUGAGUGAAGAAGGCCCUUGGGUUGUAAAGCUCUUUCGUCGGGGAAGAAAAUGACUGUACCCGAAUAAGAAGGUCCGGCUAACUUCGUGCCAGCAGCCGCGGUAAUACGAAGGGACCUAGCGUAGUUCGGAAUUACUGGGCUUAAAGAGCACGUAGGUGGUUAAAAAAGUUGGUGGUGAAAUCCCAGAGCUUAACUCUGGAACUGCCAUCAAAACUUUUUAGCUAGAGUAUGAUAGAGGAAAGUGGAAUUUCUAGUGUAGAGGUGAAAUUCGUAGAUAUUAGAAAGAAUACCAAUUGCGAAGGCAGCUUUCUGGAUCAUUACUGACACUGAGGUGCGAAAGCAUGGGUAGCGAAGAGGAUUAGAUACCCUCGUAGUCCAUGCCGUAAACGAUGUGUGCUAGACGUUGGAAAUUUAUUUUCAGUGUCGCAGCGAAAGCGUUAAGCACACCGCCGGGAG
rnacentral:rRNA from 1 species